GAACAUCUUCCGGCAAUGGAUGUCGAAUACCCACAGGAAGUAGGCGUUGCAUAAACACAUGGCAGUCAUGGCUCUUCAGUCCAGUAAAUUUACCCCCGUCAACAUUCACGCAACGUGCGAUAUUAGAAGCAUACCCAUCAGGAAACUUUACAGACGAUACAAACUUUAGAAACUCUUUUUUGUCAUUCGGUUUCAUAGAAAAGAAUGCAAGAUCCCUUCUAGCUUU
rnacentral:lncRNA from 1 species